rnacentral:rRNA from 1 species
GACGAACGCUGGCGGCGUGCCUAAUACAUGCAAGUCGAACGCAGUGGGGACGGGUGAGUAACACGUGGGUAACCUCCCAUCAGAGGGGAUAACACUUGGAAACAGGUGCUAAACCGAUACUGAUGGAUGGACCCGCGUUGCAUUGGCUAGUUGGUGGGGUAACGGCUCACCAAGGGCACGAUGCAUAGCGGACCUGGGGGGUGGAUGGGCCACACUGGGCCUGAGACACGGCCCAGACUCCUACGGGAGGCAGCAGGAGGGAAUCUUCGGCAAUGGACGAAAGUCUGACGGAGCAACGCCGCGGGGGUGAAGAAGGUUUUCGGAUCGAAAAACUCUUUUGUUAGGGCAGCGGUAUCUAACCAGAAAGCCACGGCUAACUACGUGCCAGCCGCCGCGGUAAUUC